AUACGUAGGGAGCGAGCGUUGUCCGGAAUUACUGGGUGUAAAGGGUGCGUAGGCGGGACUGCAAGUCAGAUGUGAAAUGCCGGGGCUCAACCCCGGAGCUGCAUUUGAAACUGUGGUUCUUGAGUGAGGUAGAGGUAAGCGGAAUUCCUAGUGUAGCGGUGAAAUGCGUAGAUAUAAGGAAGAACACCAGUGGCGAAGGCGGUCUACUGGACAGUAACUGACGCUGAGGCGCGAAAGCGUGGGGAGCAAACAGGAUUAGAUACCCUGGUAGUCCACGCUGUAAACGAUGAAUACUAGGUGUGGGGGGACUGACCCCCUCCGUGCCGCAGUUAACACAAUAAGUAUUCCACCUGGGGAGUACGGCCGCAAGGUUGAAACUCAAAUGAAUUGACGGGG
rnacentral:rRNA from 1 species